rnacentral:lncRNA from 1 species
GCAUAUGAGACACAAUUGUACACAAGAAGAAAUGAAAAGAAGUCUGCUAGGAAUCCUUGCAGACUAAAAGGAGAUACAUGAGAGAGACUUUCUUUCUGUCUCUGGACAUUGUCAUCUGUCUGGAGUACCUAGAACUGCAGCAGUCUUCAUAGAAUCAUGAGAGUAAGCUUUUGUGUUUUAGAUAAAGUGGCAGAUCUGAUUUGUUGAUAGCAAUUCCCUGGAGUGUUGCAUUGAGAAGAUUCUGAGGCCUUGGUCUACUAUCUGUGACUGCCAUGGAAUCCUG